CCAGACUCCUACGGGAGGCAGCAGUGAGGAAUAUUGGUCAAUGGGCGCAGGCCUGAACCAGCCAAGUCGCGUGAGGGAAUAAGGCCCUACGGGUCGUAAACCUCUUUUGCCGGGGAGCAAGGGCGGGGACGUGUCCCGGCCCGGAGAGUACCCGGAGAAAAAGCAUCGGCUAACUCCGUGCCAGCAGCCGCGGUAAUACGGAGGAUGCGAGCGUUAUCCGGAUUUACUGGGCGUAAAGGGAGCGCAGGCGGCGCGCCAAGUCUGAUGUGAAACCCCGGGGCUCAACCCCGGGCAUGCAUUGGAAACUGGCGGGCUGGAGUGCCGGAGAGGUAAGCGGAAUUCCUAGUGUAGCGGUGAAAUGCGUAGAUAUUAGGAGGAACACCAGUGGCGAAGGCGGCUUACUGGACGGCAACUGACGCUGAGGCUCGAAAGCGUGGGGAGCAAACAGGAUUAGAUACCCGGGUACUU
rnacentral:rRNA from 1 species